GCUGGAAUCGCUAGUAAUCGCGGAUCAGAAUGCCGCGGUGAAUACGUUCCCGGGUCUUGUACACACCGCCCGUCACACCAUGGGAGUCGGAAAUGCCCGAAGUCUGUGACCCAACCGAAAGGAGGGAGCAGCCGAAGGCAGGUCGGAUGACUGGGGUGAAGUCGUAACAAGGUAUC
rnacentral:rRNA from 1 species